GCAAGGCCUUGUCAUGGUGGUGGCAGUAGCGGUGGCCUGUGAGACCUUGUGGUGGCAGCAGGAGAUGGUUGUAGAAGCAGACAUGGCCUGUGAGACUUUGCUGAGGCAGGCUGCCACAGCUUCUCCCACCACCUCCAAGAGGCCUCGCAGGCCACCGCCACUUCUUGCCACCAUGGCAAGGCCUCGC